AUGCUGCUGUUUUAAGAAGUUGCAGACGAAUGCUACAGGCGUUCCCCUGCAUUCUCCUCAGUACCUGUUUGCCUUGGAACCCAAAGCACUCACAGCCCUAUUCCUUCCUGUUGGCAGGAUUGAGAGGAAAUUCUUAACUCCACUGACUGACACCUUUCAUUUUUCUGCGUUUCCCUCACUGCCAAAUUCAGAAGGAAGGGAAAUUAAUGCUCUUGCUGCUGUUUCUCCAGGGACAAGGAGUUUCACCAAUGAAUGUUCCAAAUACAGAUGACAGAAGUAAGGAGAGAUCAUCUGAGACUCCUUUGAGACUGUGACACCUGAUGAAAUGGAUGGGGUCCUCUAUGGAAUGAGUUCAGGUACCUUCAAAUUAGACCUAUGCCCCUUGUGGCUGGUAUGUGCAGCCAAGGAGUUGAUGACAACACUGAUAUGAGAGGUGAAUAAUCUGAAAAUGAAAUAAUGUACAGCUGAAACUCCAGGAAACCUGUUUGAUAGAGGACUUCACACAUAUCUAAAGG